CCUACGGGUGGCAGCAGUGGGGAAUAUUGCACAAUGGGGGAAACCCUGAUGCAGCGACGCCGCGUGAGUGAAGAAGUAAUUCGUUACGUAAAGCUCUAUCAGCAGGGAAGAAAAUGACGGUACCUGAGUAAGAAGCCCCGGCCAACUACGUGCCAGCAGCCGGGGCAAUACGGAGGGGGCAAGCGUUAUCCGGAUUUACUGGGUGUAAAGGGAGCGUAGACGGUGCGCCAAGUCUGGAGUGAAAUGCCGCAGGCUAACUCCGGAACAGCUUUGGAAACUGGCGGACUAGAGUGAGGGAGGGGUAAGCGGAAUGCCUAGUGUAGCGGUGAAAUGCGUAGAUAUUAGGAGGAACACCGGUGGCGAAGGCGGCUUACUGGACCCUAACUGACGUUGAGGCUCGAAAGCGUGGGGAGCGAACAGGAUUAGAUACCCCAGUAGUC
rnacentral:rRNA from 1 species